rnacentral:siRNA from 1 species
AGUUAGUGUUACAAUUGUAACAAC